rnacentral:rRNA from 1 species
UACGGAGGGGGUUAGCGUUGUUCGGAAUACUGGGCGUAAAGCGCGCGUAGGCGGACUAGUCAGUCAGGGGUGAAAUCCCGGGGCUCAACCCCGGAACUGCCUUUGAUACUGCUAGUCUUGAGUUCGAGAGAGGUGAGUGGAAUUCCGGAGUGAUUAGAGGUGAAAUUCGGUAAGAU